UAUUUGGAGUAAACUGUCAUUUAAUCAUCGCGCUGACCCGAAAUCAUUUUUAUCCCAUCGAGAAGACAAAGUACAAAGUUGUUGUUUGUGGUAGUAUAAUAUAUGCUUUGAUUGUUAUUAUUAUUAUUAAAUAACUUAUUGGAAUAGAAAAAGUAAGAUGAGACGUAUUUUGAGCUCUUUCGAGUUAUUCUUCGCAACACACUGCCAUCCGACAAAACAUUGGAUCGACGAAGCCGCUCAUAUUGCACAUGUAAGUACUCAUUUUAAUAACGUAAAUUUAAUGGUAAUAUUUAUUCAGAAUUCUAUUUAUUGUUGUAGGAAAAAAUGGUGGAGUUGGUGGAAAAAGAAAACGAAGAAGGUAAACAAUUGAGUGAGCAAGAUGCUAUGCAAACCGUGCUUGGAAAAUGAUCAUCCUACACGAAAGAGAUGAGGUAUGGUCCAAAGCCACAAAGUAAAAAACAGAUAGCAAGAUACUACCAGAAAUAUGUUAAGGCUUUUGAAGUUAGAUUGGAAAAAACGGAAGAGUUAUUGCAAAGUCAACACCAGGAAACGUAGACGUUGUUUGAUAUGAAACAUCGAGAAUAUGAAAGAAGGAAGAAGUGAUUACAUUAAAAGCCUAUUAUUCUUUUCAAGGAAUUUAAAAAAUAGACGAAUAAAUUUUGAAGAUGGUCAUUAGGAAAAUAUCAAACUACGUAAUAAGUACCGUCAUUAGAGUCUCGCCUUGAAAAGAUCGAGGAAACAUUGAUAGCUCAACAAAAGGCGACCAAAGAACAAUUAGAGAAAGCAUUGGAGGCCCAAAGCCAAGAGUUUAACAUGAAACUUCUUGAAAUGCAACAAUCUAUCGAGAGACUUUCGAGGGAAGGAAGUUCAUGAAAUAGUAAGAGUCAGCGAGAAGAAUUAUUACUCACAAUGUUUGGCAGUUGAAAGACAAUCAAACUAGCACAUAGUGAGGACGGAAGAGUUAUUGGAUAUGCAACGGCAGGAGUACAAUAGAAGGUUUGAUAAGAUGGAAGAAAUUCUUAAGAGAUUUAAUAGAGGAGAAAGAAGUUCAUCGCUGAAGAAGCUAUGAAAAAGAAGCAGCAGAAUGGUCCCAAUAGUAGGUUUAGACUUUGGAGGCUUGACUUACAAAACAGAAAAAUUAUUACAUAGAGGAAUUAUUAGAGGCACAUUUGAAAGUUGAACAACAAGAAUUAUUAGAGGGUGCAUUGUAUGAUAUACAAAACAUUUUGAAGUGGGGAUGAUG